rnacentral:rRNA from 1 species
GUGGGGAAUUUUGGACAAUGGGGGCAACCCUGAUCCAGCAAUGCCGCGUGCAGGAAGAAGGCCUUCGGGUUGUAAACUGCUUUUGUACGGAACGAAACGGUCUGGGUUAAUACCCUGGGCUAAUGACGGUACCGUAAGAAUAAGCACCGGCUAACUACGUGCCAGCAGCCGCGGUAAUACGUAGGGUGCGAGCGUUAAUCGGAAUUACUGGGCGUAAAGCGUGCGCAGGCGGUUUUGUAAGACAGGCGUGAAAUCCCCGGGCUCAACCUGGGAAUGGCGUUUGUGACUGCAAAGCUGGAGUGCGGCAGAGGGGGAUGGAAUUCCGCGUGUAGCAGUGAAAUGCGUAGAUAUGCGGAGGAACACCGAUGGCGAAGGCAAUCCCCUGGGCCUGCACUGACGCUCAUGCACGAAAGCGUGGGGAGCAAACAGGAUUAGAAACCCCUGUAGUCC